CAUUAACAUAUCCCGGCUAUCGGAUGGGGCUCUCUACACUUAACGUUGCUCUCUGGUAUCGUCGGUAUCUAGAAUAUUGUUUUGAUAAUGCGCGUUUCGUAUGUUUGCCGAGGGUUUGUUACAACGAAGCUCCUGUUGAAUUAGCAUCAACGCUGGUGGAACAUAUUUGCGAAUCAAGAAUGGUUGCCACAUGAUGUAAUACGAAUUGAAAAUCGAAAACGAAUUAAAUAAGAAAGCAAAGCAUCGAAAUACGGAGAAAUUGAAACGGUGAGCGAUGUGAAUGGUGAAAAGAUAAAACACCAUCUUUCGUAACGAUAUCUGCACUCCAUCCCGCGCGGCUUGACAGAUAAAGUUACCCACAUUUACCCGCAACAGCUGUUAAGUUGGCGAAACGGUGACUACAUGAAGGCAGCAGUCUGCCUCUGCUCCCGCUAUAAAACCUCUCUCCUUAAAAGACCUCUCUUUCAAGACCCAGACAUAUCCAAGACCCACAGAAUCACGCGCGAGUCGGAUUCGAAAAGCACGUUAAAACGAAUAAAAAAAAAAAAGGAGACGCAAAACAAAGGAAAAUAAAAGAGGGAGAGAGAGAGAGAGGGAGAGAGAGAGGGAAAGAGAGAAAGAGGGAGGAAAAGGCACAAGUGUUGGCCGGUGUGUGCGACUCGAUGCGGAACGGAAGCGUGAACGAUGCACGGGGUGGCCGGGGCCGGGUUAGCAGCGUUAGAGUCCGGGGGUGAAAAGGGAAGAGAACGGCAGGUGUCUCGAUGGGGUGGUAGGGAGAUGCGCGGUGUAUUAAACCCGGUGACUCUUGCCGCGCAGCGUGGGAGUUAGUUCUGGUGAGGGCGCCAGCCAGCUCACUCGCUAAACUAACCCACCGUCCCAACCCUUCGAUCCUCCAUCCCUCGACUUUCGGCCAACAAAGCAACAUCCACGGCCGCAACCUCCUUUCACCGACUCCGCAGCCGCUGUUUUUUCGCGACUUCCUGCCCGGCCCGCGUCUAAAUACCGUACGACGUACUGAGAAAGGAAAAGGAAUCGGUGACCAUUCAACAAACAGGGAACGAACAACUUUUCUUUGGCAUUCUCGCGUCUCCCAGAACCUACGUGUAUACGUACAUUACGUAUACUCUGCUCGCGGCAAAGGCGAGCAUGCGAGCAACACAAACUCGUAGCAAGAGAACGUAAUAGUUGAACAUAGAAGAAUAGUACAAGAAAGUGAAUUCAUUUUUGAAGAGGUUCGAACGAGCAACGAAUGGUACGAGGCAGCGGGAUAUAACAAGAUUAGAAAGGAAGGAGGAAACAGGUUGGUCCCCGUGGUUACGUCGAUCGACGCGUUUUUAACCGGACGUUCUCGACGUCAUCGUCGUGGAUGACGAGUAUCAGCGAACGACAGCCAGCAACAUGUUAGUGGACUGGUGUUCGCACCAUUUUGUGUUCGCGUGAUCCGGUCCGUCGGUGAUGAACAAACUGGAUGGAACGGUAUCCCAUCACGGCAAGAAUAAACUAACCGCUGAAUAAACCAAGUUUAAACACGAGUACGUUUACGGGUAUUGUAAUCGACUGUAAAACGAGUUUCCACGAGUAGAAGGUCGUUGAAAGUUGUUCAAAAAGUAUCAACGAUCAUCCAUCAGACUUUAGAGGAUUUUACGUGCGAGAACUGCGAGGAAGAAGAAGAAGAAGAAGAGUGUUAUGUGCGACGGGGAACGGAAGAUUUGAACUUGGCAGGGAAGGUUAUCUGUUAAUCGUAUCGCAUGAGAAAAGGUCCCACAGUGGGAAAGAGGCGCAGAAGGGCGAAGAUAUCGCAGCACGCAGUCACAGAAGCAAGUAUUUCGCACAGAAACACACGUUAAAUCAUAUGUAAACACAUGAUAUUCUGUUAAUACACUGGGUAAUGUUCCGCAACUGCACCUUUGCCCGAUAACUUUCUUUUUUCUCUAUAUAUACGUGCACAUAAUAUAUAUAUAUAUACAUAUAUAUAUUGUAUUCUCUCUCUGUUCACACGCGCCUGUGUUGUGUCACACUCUAUCACUGUAUGAUCGAUGUGCGUACUAUGUUCUUCUACUCCUUCGGUGUUUUCGACGUCACGACGACCAGCUGUGUCGUCCGGCGCCUUAAUUAAUCCCCUUCCUCCUCACCCCCCUCACCCCCCAAACCAGGAGCACGGUUUUGCACAUUUUUCGGGCACCUGUUGAUCUCUCUCGUACUACAUAGCCACUUUUCCGCACUUUAAAGUCGUUCGGAGAGUUCGAUGUCACCGCUGCACGCCGUGUCACACCGCACGUAGAAUCUCGUAUAACGCCUCACUGGCACACAAGCACCUCCAAAAGUCAAGUAUUGUGAACCGACACACGGGGCCCUUCAACAGCAUGGAAACCAGAGAUAGAAAGCAGUUUUCUAUGACGUCAUCAAGGACAGUAAGUGUCUAAUUUAAGACAAGGGACCGCAAGUAGUCGUGGAUCCUGGAAAUUGGACUUUCGAUUUCUAUCGGGGAAAGUAGAGGGAUCAGAAAGUGGAGAGUAGUAUGUUGUAAUAGAGACAGAGGAGAGAAAGAAUCGCGAUGCAGGCAACAGGGAGAGAGGACAGGGGUAAGAGCAGGAGGACCAGGAGAAAAAUCGAGUUUCGUUGUUGCCCACACUAUCGAGCACCUUAAUAAGCAUCCACGACCAGCACCAGCACCAUUCAUCACUGGCACUGCAUAUUAUUCUUCAGACACACGCCUUAGUGUCGACUAAGAGCCAUCCUUUUUUUACUAACGGCCUGAUUUCAGGACGCAGAAAUCCUCGAGAGCCUCUGUUGACAUUGAGUGGAACGAACCGUCGGGAAUUUUCGGAAAUGCGACAUUAACGAGACACGAUCGUGGACUAUACAACGAUCGCCGACCGAAUCGAGUCGAAUCGAAGAGAAACGAAGAGAAGAAGGAAAUCGAAAGAGAAUAGAAUAGGUGAUGUUCUUAUUGAUCUCCCUAUUCCGAUUAUAACCGAAGAUUUAGAAAAGUGUUCGAUGAAAGAAGAAAAGCAGCAAAGUAGAAAGACAAGAGAUAGAAUAAAAGUAGUUGAACGCGUUUAAGAAACGUUUCGUUUCCCAUGUAACGGAUGCCUACAUGGUUAUCGAUUGAUCGCCGGUCAUCGCUCAUCGUCCGCGUUUUCUUCCCUCAAGUCGCUCCCUACAGAAACGCUUCCUCCCCCUGCACAGCUAACGAAAAGUCGGCCUAAACUCUCAGCGUCGUGCCUUUUGACUGGCAAACGAAAAUCGAGCACGGUACGUGUAUACAAUAAAAAGCGCUAAAAACGAAACAACAACAAAAAAAAAUAAAAAGUAACAAAGGCGAAACUACAUAAAGAAUCGGUCCAAGAAGAGAGAAAAGAAGAAGAGGAGAGAAACAAAAGACACUUAAUUUUUAAUCGAUUCGAAAGCCAGCCCGGUUAAAUCCGGUGAAAACUGUAACAUAUAUGAUGGCGGUAUGCAUGUUCUGGCUUCUCACGUACGUGGGACAAGGGCUGGACUUGGCCGUGGGGAAUCAUCCGGUGAUCAUCAUGCAGGGUGCACAGGAGCAGGACUACCGGCACAGUAGCGGGAUCAGAAAGAAGAGCGAGCUAAACUCGGUAGGCAAUAACCUGUUGCACUUCAGGAUAUAUCCUCCCGAGGCCUCUCACCGAGACGACUUGUCCAACUGGUUGCUAUUGAACGACGAACCACGGAUUUCCUCGUGGACACCAGCUGGUAUAUUGAUCGACGAUAUGAUCAGAGAGCCUAGGGAGCUACAGACUAUAUUCUUUGCCCUGUCACCCGCUAUGUUGAACAUGCUCUACUCGGAAUACAUGAACACGGCGAAACAACCGGGCGAACAAUUUCUACACGAGGAUCAACAACAACAGCCAAUGGGCGGUGGCCCUCUGGGUAGUCAACGUACUAAGAAGCUACGAAUCGACUGUAGACACUCGAGAAAUACGGUCAGCCUGCCUAUAAGAGUAUGCGAUGACGAAACAGGACGCAAGAGCUUUCAAGAAACCAGACAAUCGAACUACGACGAUCUCUUCGAGCAGAAGUUAAACACUGCUGCGAACAUGAAGACUGACUCGAUAUCACGGGGACCUGAGAAGUACAGAGAUUAUCAGAACGGCGCGACGUUUGUGUCGAGGCCACCGUUUGGCCUGGACACAGCCAAGCCUCCUGGAAAAAGGAGCCAAACUUUUGGCGGACGCCGCUCCAUCGACCUCUCCGGAGAGUCGACUCCGCAUCAAGCUCAACCGCCGUCCUCCCUCGGGAACGGCAUCAACGUCGCUUCUCAAAUUAUGUUCAGAUCCACCAGGGGAAGCAUACAGUACGACGUACCGCAAAUCGAAUGUCCAAUCUCCGAAGACGGGAUGGAAAGGUUUGCGUGUCCCACAGCGGACAGAAUGGGUAGAUACCAUUGCAUCGACGAUCACGCCUUGUGCGACGGUUUCAUAGACUGCCCUACAGGCGAAGACGAGGACAGGCAAGCCUGCAUGUUUUACAAAACUUAGCGCACGAAAAUACCCGAACACUUAACACAGAAUUCUUUCAAGAAUAUAUUGUGUGCAUUGUGGGAAACUUUUUGAAAUUUCCUUAACGCUGUAAUGAGAUAUAACCACUACGACUACAAUGUGAACAGUGAAAGGAUCAACAAGAAGAUAUUUAUCCGGCAAAUUUCCUAUUUUUCAUCGCUUUAACCUUUACUAUAAUUUGAAUGAGAAAUAUACGUAGACGAAAGCUCACCUUGACGUAUUGGCAGAUGCCAUUUUGCGAUGGGCAAGAGGACGCUAAUUCCUUUGUUGACGAUGAACCUCUGACCUAUGCAUAAAAUCAUAAGUCUGACGAGUUUACUUCUUUAUACAUUCACGUAUAUACAUAUAUAUACAUAUAUAAUAUAUAUAUAUAUUUGUAUAUAUAUAAUAUAUGUAUAAUAUAGCAUAUAAUAUGUAUAUGAUAUAUUCCCAUGUAUGUGUACGUGUACUCACACUCUUGCGUACCCGCACACAUAUUCAGGGUUUUCGUUUCGUUGCUAGCGGACGUUUCUCUUGCGAGCAGUUCCAGAGGGGGAUAAAGGCAGUUGAGGUAAUUCUUCCUUACUUUUCGCAGAAAAAUGCGAUAAAAGAGAAAGAAAUUUAUUAACAAGCUCAAGACUAAUUGUUGGAUUUCGAUUGAAAAAAGAUCGGGUAUGGAAUGGAUAAUCCCAAAUAAUUGGACUUAGAUGUGAAAUUGUGGAUUCGAUGCAGUCUUGAAAAUAAAGAAACGUUAGCUUAUUUGAUGUAUUCGUUUAAUUCGAACGAACAUGUACUUUCAAAAUUCUUCGACAUUUUUGCAAGCGUAAUAUUAAAAUAUUUGCAUCUUUCUAAAUGUAUCAUUUUGAUCUAAUUGGUAUUCCUGCUAUAAAGAAAAGGCUUCAUUAAAAUUGAAUAUAUUGAAACCCCCAGGAUAAAACGAAAGGAGAAAUCAUUAGACUGCUACGCUAAAUGCUUAUGUACUUAUGAGACGCAAGAAUGCUCCUAAAAGACACAGCAUUCUAAAACACAGAAUGCCUCGAACCUCUGUUUAAAUUGUACUUCUUCAGUUGUAUUCGUGAAAAUAUGAAUCCGUAGAAACGUCCGCACUCUAAAAAUCAUUUAAUCUCCAAAACACGGAACAAGAGGAGAGAAUCAGGAUCUAUCAUCGAUCUACGGUGCUUCUAAAAUUCUUCUAAAAUUCUAAGAAAACCUAACGUCGCACGAAUCUGACCCUAGCGAAAUCGCAUUCCAAAUUCCACGAACAACUUCACGAAUCACUGGAAUUACUUUACGCGGUCACGUUUCACCGUGGAUGCGACUGCAAAACAUCCCCUCGUAUAUUCUCGGCGAUUUAAUCCGCUCGCAAAAGGAACGCGCGCUGACUAGAAGACGAACACCCUGCUCGCAUUCUCCCCGUUCUCCCGCAUCAUCUAUUUUGCAGAGAGUUUUCCCUUUCUCCCGUAUAUAACCGUAAAGAAAAACACACAUACACACACAGACAUACACACACAAACACAAACACAUAAUGAGAGAUAGAGAGAGCUUGCGUGUGUGCAUGCGGAAACGUGUGAAAGAAAGAGAGAGAGAGAGAGAGAGAGCGCGCGCGAGAGUGAGAUGUUCACGUUGAAAUCAAACUCAGGGGAACGUAAAGAUGAAUCGUUUCUCGAGCAACGCUCAGCCAAAAAAUAUGGCGGAUCCGUGCUCGAUUCUUCGAGGGGUGCGGAUUGAUUCUGACGCGGCCUCGUUUACACGCGUUCGCUACGUGUCCUCGCACGAGGAUAUCGCUGAAUCGAUAAUAUUUCGAUAGACAGGCCGUUGCUUGUUAAUUAAAUGGACGUGUUCUGCGGCUUGACGUUUAGAAGAUGAUAGCGAAGACAGGAAGUUGCGAUACGUUUGGCGCGAUUAACGCGAGCUUCCGACUGGUUCGGUGAUACGUUCUGAGAUACAUACUGUUGAUGGAUGACCGGAAGAGGGAUAUCGCGCGAUUCUAUCGUGAAACUUGUUCGUUCGAUCUUUCUUUCUUCUUUUUUCCUUACAUAGAAUCGCAGAAUUGAUCGGAGUUACGGCGGGUCAAUUGUGGAGAAUUUUCGAAUUAUUAAAGUUUGCGUUAAAGAUAUCGAAAUUAUUGGAAUAUCUGGGAAGUUUGAGAAUUUUUCGUGUUAUUAUUAUUCGUAGAAAUGUUUAAGUAUUUCAUUGUUACACGAUUCGUCGAACAUUGUGAAAAUAACGAAGCAGAAGCAUCGUAUCGAGGAAAAUGUUCUAUUUUAUUCAAAACACGUUUCUCCUGUGGCGAUACAACGAUUUGCACCCUUAACUAAUGCGUCAAAUAGUUGUUGCGCGUCUUUUUAUGGAAUUCCUUUGAGAAUGCUCGUCACAGCCUUCCGGAUGUCUCGAAUGUUAUCACAGCGUUUCUCCUUCGUUGUUUUUCGAAGCCGACGAGAUCGAAAGUAAUUGCACGAUGCUAAGUCCAGCGAACAGAGUAGCUGGUGCAAUAUUUUAAUUUAUUUGUUUUCAAGAGAAGCAGUUAUGGUCGCUGCAUUAUGGGCCGGUACAUUAUUACGCAACAGCACCAUAUUUUUCCACGCGUGAACCAACUCUACUCCAAUGUUGAUCGCUAUAAUUCUGCUCCUAAUGAUGACGAUGACGAAGGAUGUAUUUCUAUGUGAUAAAAUUUUCGCAUUGAUGUCGCUACUCGGUUUUUUAAAUCUUAAGUUGCUCCGUUAUUUUUGGAACAGAUUGUGUACUUUAAUUCUACCUUUUUGUAAAAUUGUAAAAUGUAGCAGGAUGCUGGAAGAUUUGAAAAUUAUUAGAGUUUGUUAAAAAUUUUGAAAAUAUUGGAAUAUUUGAGAAGUUCCUGAAUUUUCGAUGUUAUUAUUAUUUGUGUAAGCAUUAGCGUAUUUUAAGAAUGUAUACUUUUUUGUCGUUUUAAAAAACUUUGAAAGUAAUUUGUUGCGGAUGUUGAAACUGUUGGAACAUUUAGACAAUUUUUUUAUUACUAUAGGAGAUUUUUGAAAAGUUGGAAGUUUCAGAGUAAUUUAUUAUUAUUUUUCUAUUGUUUGAAAGAAUUGGAAUUAUUGAUAGACUGUUUAUUUAGUAAUUAUGAAUUAGCUUGAUGUAGAUGUUGAAGAUAUUGAGAAAUUUAAGAAGUUAGUAUAAUUAUUCGGUUUGUAAAAUACUUUGUUGUGAAUGUUGAAAAUUUUGAAGUAGACAUUUUACGAAACAUAUUAAAAUUAGAUUUCCGUAUUCUUCUAGGAUAAUUAUGAGCUUAGUACGAAUAUUAUAUAUAAACAAUUUAUACGUUGGUUUCGUAGAAAAGACAUUGAGAAAUUGAAAUGUCUGUUCUUUUGUAAAAUCCUUUCGAAUUAAUUUAAGUUAUUUAUACAAGAUUUAUAACUUCAUUUAUUUCAUCGAGAAUCUCAGCGUUUUAUUCUUUUGUACAAUUUCUUGAAGUAAAGGUAUAAAACGAAAAUCUUUUAUGAAUAAUUUUUCUCUCCUGUUAGAAUUCUACAAUUUCCUGUCAUCGAGAACGAACGAUCAAUUUUCUUGCUGUCGGAAACCCAUUUCUACGUCCAGAAUCAUCUGUCACUACAAGGGAAAGAAUUUCAUCUGUCAUUUCGGACAGGAUUUCGUUGUUCUCUGAUACCGUUUUCAAACGCGAUACCUCCUACAUCUAACGACUAUAUAAUUUAUGAAAAAUAAUGACAGUGAUUAAUCUCGAACUAAUAAUAAUAAUGAAUUGUAUAUUUCUCGAUUAACGAAUUGUUGUUUAUAAAUUAGAUAACAGAAACAGAUGCAUAAAUUCACCUUUUUUGCUGACAAAAAUCUACAUAAAAAUAUAAUAAUAUAAAAAUAAUAAAAUAUUGCGAUCUAAGGGCGGAAAACGAUUAAAAGUAUUCGAUCGAAUAAUUAUAGUACAAGGUUAACAAUUUAAUCAUUUUAAUCCAAAAAUCUCUCAUUUAAAAUAUAUUUUAAAAUAUGAGAACCUUCCUCGAUUUCCUCGUUUUCUGAAGAGCAGAAAAAGUAAUCUAUUGAGAUUAAAGAUUAUUAAAGAUUAAAAAAUAAUUUCGCUCUUUUCUCUCAUCUGUUUUUCAUAUUUAUUUACUGUAACUAAUUAAUUAUUAUUCUCUUAAUUUAUACUAAAUUUUAAUACUCACACGAGUGCGGAAAUUCCUUUUACGAUAUUUGCAUGAAACGGAUGAAUACUGUUGGUGGUAUAUUUCUAUUAACCGAAAUUUACGCUUCCUGUUAUAAAGUCUCCAUCAACCGAAAUGUAGUCUCAAUUUAAACAUCGUCAGAAGUAAAUCCCUAUUAAAAGUUUGCCACCAACUAAAAUUUACAUUAAAUUUAGAUACUAAUAGGAAUACACGAAUUUCUGUUAUGAAGUCUUUAUCAACUGAAAUUUACAUCAACUUUGGAUACUAUAGAAAUAAGAUUCUAUUAAAUCCUCUGUCGAACAAAAUUUAUAUUAAAUUCACACACUAGAUCCUUCCAAAAUCUCUUGAAAUCGCUUACAACUCUCCAAGUUACCAACUGAAAUUACAAUAUAACUCUAUUCAUCGAAACUCAUUAGGGGACAGUUCACGUAAUUAGACUUCAUACGAUAGCUAUGAUAGGAGACGAGUUACUGUCCUUUUUACUUAUGAUCUUUCAUUCGAAUAACGCAGUCAUAGAUUCAAUCCUCUCAGACAAUAUCUGAUACGAAAAAUGCAGAAAUGCUAAAAACCAUAAAAAGAUAAUUACCUUCUAAAUCGUUUAUUUCGAAUUCUUUUUCGUUUUAUUGCACUGUCAAAUGAUUAAUCGAGCCCUAACUAAAAUUUUGUUCUAAUAAAUGGAGUUCUACUAUAAUACACAAGAAAAAUUUCUAAAUUAACCCCUUUAAUUAACCCUUAAAAUCAAACCUUAUGGUAACUGAUUGCACGAUUAAAGAAACGAUGUCUAAUCUCUCUUUCCUCACCAUAAAUGAAGUGAUUUAAAGCGUGACAGCUUUAUUGGUUGUUUAAAAACUAAAUUAAACAAACAUAACACGUGAGUACGGAAGAAUUAAAUACAAAAUAAACAUCAAGUUGCAGACGCGUCCAGGACAAACUAUAUCGAUUUUCGCCUAACAGAAAACGCGUGAAAACGAGGCCGCCCAUCAUGGUAACCAGGUAUCCUCAUGUUAAAGUACAAAUUAAGGGUGUCCGAGGUUUCAAGGGGCGUAUAACAGUAACGUUCGUACGGCGGCACCAGGAGAUCUAUCCGGUUCGAUAUUGGCGCCGUCGCGUCGAUCCAUCCGCAGUCUCUUUGACUGCGACUUAACAAAACAAUCGAGCGAUUCCCGCGAGCCGUGUGAACUCAAAACCUUCGACGACUUUAUUUUCGUACGACGCGAACGCAGACUACAGAUUUCGAAGACUGAGAACGAAAAUAAAAAAAAGCCACUUUUAGUUGGCGCGUGGAAUCCUAUUGGACGACGACUUCCGAUUUCAAGGGACGACAAGAGUCCAAUACGAUUUCUGUGCAUCGAUCGUUCAGCCAUUUAUGCUUGAGUACACGCGGUAAGAUCGGACAUUUUUUGCAUGCGCGUUUAAUCAAACUGUUUCUCACGAUUAAUGAUCUUAUGAAACUUAACGAAAGAUCGAUGGAGAAAGAAUCGAUGAGCAAUCAUAAAUGGGCUGAAUCAUCCCCCUCUUGGUUUCCUCCUGCUGAAUUUCUCCUGUUGCGUUCCUGACGAUCCCUAUUCUUCUUCUUGUUUCUUUAAACCUCCUCGUUAGACCGUACGUAUUAUAUAGCUUAGCGGUAAAUGUUUGACUGUGUCUCAAGCGAUACCUUAACUUUAAUCUACAAAUCUGUUCGUGAAUCACGUAAAUAUGUGAAUCAUUAGAGCUUGUAAAGAUCGAGGAAAUAUAGUUGUAUCCUGUAACCUUGGAAUGGUGAGUUUUGAAUUUUACCAAAAUUGCAAAGAAAGAGAUUUUAUCAGAAUGGGAGAAAACAAAAUUCGAGGCUUUUUCGACAUUUCGAUAUUAAUACUUUAUCGGUGGGUGGGUUUCACUGAGAAAAACGAUUUUAUUUAAAAAAAAAAAAUUAAUUAAAUUAAUUGCACUAUCCAUAUGAAAAUUUUAACUACUGUUUUUACGUUUGUUUUAAUAUUAUUUCAUUACACAUAAGGUAUCAAUUGACCUGGCCUAUCGUUGAAGUGUUAAUUCGUAUAUUAUCUAAAGAAAAAUGAAUUUAACUUGGAUUUUAUUAAACAACCUCGUGAAUGAAUUAAAUUUUUCAGAUAGGGAAAGAACAAAUUUAUUCACAGAUUUAAAAAUUAUAUUUAUUUAAAGGAUCACGUACUCAAAAACUCUUUCCAAGGUUGUCUAAAAAAAAUACAGAAAAAGGAAGGAAGAGUAAGUCCUACAAUAUAAACAGAACCUCGAGAAAAUUACGAGCUCGCUUGUCCACGUUACGAGAAAAUGAUCAAGCUGUCGACUAUCGAGACGUCUCGAGAGAAACGAGACAAGCGUUUGCUGUACUGCCGUGUGUUUGCUUGUUUAUAAAAAAAAAAGAAAAAAAAAGAAAAAAAGGGAACGGUGAAAACGCACGUGGUCCGGAGAAUGUGCAGCCUUCUAGAAUUUGUUGGAGUACAUUACAUAUAUAUACACUUUUGUUUCAUCAAACUAGUCUGUAAGGAUUUACGAUUUAACAGAAGGAAAAAAAACAGAUAAAAAUACUAAAAAAAAAAAGAAAAAGGAAAAGAAUAAAAAACCUCCUAGGAUUAUGCGAAUAAAAAUAUAUACCGAUCUAUCGAUAGAAUAUAAAUCUCGGAUUGAAAGAAUGAGAAAAAUAUUGGCGAACACCGACGAGACUCAACUACGCAAUAUUACAACGUGUAUGAAUUGAAAAGGAAGAAGAUCGAAUCGUGGAAGUAGCAGAAGAAGUAGAAGAGACGUUUAGGCGCAGAGAGGAAAAAAUUCGCGAAUACACGUCAAGCGAAAAUUCCCUUCUUGCAAAAGGUCAAUUCAGUAUUACAGAGCGUUUAGAUUGUACAUUGUGAAGUUUCAUUUCGCGCUCGAACAAACGGUACGAAGCGAUCCGACGAGAUUGGCUCGCGUUGUUUCAUGGUCCUCGAUCGUUUCCAGACGGCCAACCUUGCGAUACUUGAUCUCUAAACUCUCGAGUCUGGAUCGCUCGUAGAUCUUGAGGAUCCGCGUGCUGCCAUGUCUCGUUUCUAGCAACGCGUCAAGUGCGAGAGAAUCGCUCGCAGUAGACACUUUUCCAUUUCGUAGUUUGACGUAAUUCGAGGAAGAAAAGCGCAUUUAUUCGACGACUUUGCUUAAUCGAGUCAUCUGAAUACAGGGUUGCACCCUUAACCCUCCGGGACCCAUUGUCACAUUUCACAGCUUCGAACGUUUCGUCUUUUUCAAUGAUAGAAUGAUUAGACAUAUAUAUAUAUAUAUAUAUAUAUAUACGUUGAUUGCUUUGAACGUCUUGCUUUUUCGUUGUUGUUUAUUUUAGGUGCAUUCUCGUUUAUGAAUCACCGGACCACCAGGUAAUUUUAAACAGAAACUUUAUUAACCCACUCGCGUGUCAAUUUCCUUCUCCCGAUUCUAUUUGUAUAUUUAUGCUAAUCUUUUUUAACGCAGAAAUUAAAUCAAAAUUGCAGCUUGGAAUUUUAUUCGAACGAAAUUUGUUCCCGUUUGAGAUUGUAAAUACGCGAUAACGACGAUGAGAGAAACUUCUUCAUGAUGAUUCAAUUUUAAUUUAAACGAAAUUCAUUUUGCGUUAUGAUCGAGUUAGAAUCGAAAUUGUAGCGUGCAGCAGCGAUGAUUAUUAAAUUUAAUUUUGAGCGCGACUGAGUUUAAAUGAAUCUUCAAUCAAAUUUUAGAAGCUUAGUAUAAUAUCUUUCCUCUUGUGGUAAAGAUACUUGGUAAAUAUCAGUUUCGCUUUUGUAAUUAGAUAUGUAUAACAUUAAUUUACUUCGAUUUUAAAUAAACUAAAUAUCUGGUGACUUAUGGAUGAUAGUUUGCACAUUUGCAAGCGUUUGAACAGCUUCCAAUGUCCUUAGCUUAGAAAUUAUUUAGGAGACCCUGGGUUCACGGAGGGCUAAGCGAACUGAACAUAUCAGAAUCUACGCUACGUAUUUUUCAUCAGAACAGAAUAUUUUUAAUAUUCACUGUGAACGACGCGCAUAUUUAGAACACUUCCUGUUGCUCAGCGGUUGUCUCUGGGGCAUUCAGCGACACGCAUGCGAAUUCCUUGUUCGGUGUGCGAUGUUCCAACAAGUGUUAUCAUGUUAAACGCUUAACCGGUCGUCUUGAGGCUUUUGUUUCGUGUGACUUCCAUGAUUAAUCUUGGCGAAGGAGUGAGAAGUUUAAUGAAAUUUCAUAUUUCAUUCCAUUUCUGACGUCUGGCGGAUAUCUAAUUGAACGUUUGCAUUCAAAUUACGUCUUCGAGAAUCAAAUGCUACUUAAAUCGCUUUAUAAUAAGAAUUCUAAUACAUUAAAAUGAUCCCAGAAAUACUUACAAAUUAAACGAUAUUUAGUUUGGAACAUCAAGUUGUAUAUUACUAAUCCUAAAUUAUUCCAAAGAUAUACAUUAUGUAUCAAUAAAAAAAAAAAAAAACGCAAAAAGAUUCUCAAUUAAUGAGAAAAGAUUCGAAAUAAUUUUUAUUUUGAAAUUAUUAUCGUUUUCGUUACUAUUGCAGAAUGUUAAAAAUGUAAAAGGGGAGAUUUAAAACUUUUAAAGCGCAUAGUACAUACUUACAAAGAGCAGGGAAAAAUAUUUGAUCAACAUAAAUUCUAUUUAAGAAACAGACACGUUAAACGGAUAUUAAGCAAAGAGAAAAUAGAAUUUUGUGCCUCGUUGCAAGCUUUUAUCGAUGUCAACGAUAAUCUCUCUUUCAGAUUUCUUUAUGAUUAAUUUCUUAUUCCUAACAAACGUAUGUUCGUAUUAUUCCUAUAUACGGAGUUGCACUUUAUUGUAAAGAAAUUAUUAUUAAACUCUAUGUUGAUUAAACAUUUUUUACUCCUCUCAGUGAAUAGUUUUAGACGUUUAUUGUUUAACUUAUCACUUAACUUGCGUCUAACAAUCCACUUACUUUAACCUUUUAUCUUUACAGAUUUAAAUUACUGUACCUUACACUAAAAUAUAUAUUAUAUAAAAAAAAUAUCACUUUUCUUCUUAUUAUUAAUUGUUUCUCAUUGUACGAAAAUUUAAUCAUUCUCUAUCAACAAACCGAAGAAAAACUUUGCAUGUUUGCUACGUAUGAUCAGUGUGAACUCGAACCGAAACAUUGCAAACGAAAGAUUCUCUCAUUGAACCUUCGCUCUCGUGAGUUUUUUCGAGUUUCUCGAUCAGGACGAAACAUUGCGAUUAAUACAACCGGUUGAGCGUCUCGACGCAUCAAGAAAUUGAUGUAACAGAGCGACGAAGCUCGGAGAACAAUCAGAACAAUCACGUUAGAUGACACCGGCAGUAAGUGAUCGUAUAAAUGAUAAAAAGAAGCGUCCAGUGGAUGGUGAGAACAAUCUAUCAAGACGUAGCACACGUUUAAGGUUCGAUGCAAACGUACGAUGCGACGUCAUUGGAAUUUUGUGUCAAAAUGAUAUUAUAAAAUUUUGCACAUUUAUUUGUACAUUUAUAAUUAAAUCGACAAUUUACGAAUUCAUAUACUUAAACAUACAUAACAUCGAACAUACAUAAAUAUGCAGGAAUAUAUGAAAAAUGCAGAAAUAUGCAGAAAAAUAUAUGCAUAUGUAUAAACAUAUAAAAUAUUCGGUAAUUCGUUAUAAUAUUCGAUAAAUGGAACAAAUCUUUGCUUACGUUCUAUUUCCUUAGAUGUGUUGGUAAAAAUCUGAAAUUGCAUAAACAUUUGCAGUUUACUAAUGAUAGGUCAUCCGGUUAUCGCAGAUACAAAGUUAUUGAAUUACAUAACGUUACUCGGAAAGGAUGACAGGAACUCUCAAAUCAACGUAAAAUAUUUGUAUCGAUGGUGAAUAUUUCGCAGAAAAUUAUUGAAGCAAUUAUAAACGAUAAUAAAAUAAUUAACGGUAAAAUUGUCAAGCUUUAAUUUUUUAUUACAAUAUUAGAUAUUUAUGACUGCAUCGUAAGGGAGUUGAUUGACUUUUUCACUGAUUUAAUCCUCCCUGUCAUAAACUCGUGUGCAUUGUAUCAUGAGAAAUAUAAAUUUAUCGAAUCUGGUCUACAUUCACCGAUACAAAAUCGCAAAGAAAUCGCAUCGAAACCUUAAAUACCCGCUACGAACCAAGAACGCCGCAUCGCAUCGUUCUAAAAGCAGCUUCUUUUUUUGAUACGACGACUAGCUUUAAUCUCUACACAGCGUGUGGAGACAAAUUUUCUCUGUCGUUGUCCUGUUAAAUGGAACAGAAAAUGAGAUGAGACGAGAACUGUUGUACACACCGUUGAGAUACGUAGGCGUUGCUACUUAACGUGCAUUUUUAUUGUCGCCAGCUCCGAGGAUAUAUUUUUAGACGAUACAUCUGUAUUAGGCUGGCUCAUAUUUUCGUCUUUUGAAUUUAUUUCGCGCCAUCCCGCGAAAUCGUUGCAAUUAAUAAACACACAAUCUGUGCCAUAAAUUUUGUUCCUCCACCUCGAUCGGAUCAAAAUAAUUAUUUAAACGUUUAUGAAAUCGGUUUUAUUCGAUUAUCCUCAAAAAGUAUUAGUUAUACUAAAAGGACUAUAUCAGACAAAAGUUGUAGAUCUAGACAAAAUGUAUGUUCUAUUACCUGUUUUCGUACGAAAUACAGUUUCCGAAAAGAAUGAAGAAAAACCAAGAAAGAUCGUAAGAACUUUUUUCUAAUUUCGAAAAUUAGAAGACGUUGAAGUCAAUUUUCGUUCACGAGAUAAUCGAAUAAAUCCGAUUUUAUAAGCAUUUAAAUAAUUAUUUUAAUGUUUAAGAGCCCAGAGGUACGUCUAUCCGUUAACCGAUCGAGAUCAAAUUUUGCCCAGAUCAUUUCUCUUUAUUAAUUGGAUUUAUUGGGAUUAUUAUAGAGGAGGGGGAGCGAAAGAAACCUUGAACAAAUUUUUCAUCAAGUGUAAAUAAGAGCCAGCCUAAUCUGUAUAUACGUAGACAUAUCCAUACGUUCAGAGAGAGAGAGAGAGAGAGAGGGAGAGAGAGGGAAAGAGAGGGGGAGAGAGAGGGAGAGAGAGAUGUAUAGACAUGUAAAAAAUGUAAAAAAGGAUACAGAGAGUGAGUGGGAGAAAGAACAUUUUAUGUAAAUUUUUCGGCCGGUGCCGUUUUUCCUUUUCGCGUGACAAAACGCCGCCGAAUCUCGACCGAAUCUCGCCUGUUUCUUUUUCAUGCUUCUCGAAUAAAUGUGCGAUGCUUGUUUCAUCCAGAUCGAGCUUUCUUACUCUUCUACGUUCUCCCGACACUUUUCUUUCGUGAUUUUCUUGGUAGUAUAGAUAUACGAUAACCACACGUAAUAUUGAAUACCUGAUUUUUAAGGCUUGAUAUAUUAAAUUACUACAUAAAUCCUGUGCCCGUUGAAAUACAUCUAGAGAUUUGAUUUGCAACAUCCAUUUCUGCAUAUACUGCGUUAUAUUUCUUUUAUAAAAAUUCACCGUUGAAUUUGUCAGUAAAAGAAAGAACUUAUUAUAAUUUUGAUAACCUGAAAAUUAUUCGAGAUUUAUCGUUCAAACUGUUUUGCUGGAAAAAGAUAACAUAAUAUGCAAAAAUAUGUAGAUUCAAUGUACAUAGAAUAUUCCUUACAACAACAAUUACUUAAUAAAUGAAACGAUCCGUUAUCUAAGUAGAAUAUUUCAAAUUAUAUUUAUAAUAAUAUUAAUUUGCAUAAAUGUCACGGUCUAAUUACGUUAGUACUUGAAUUAAUUAAAUUGAAUUCGUUCAAUUAAAAAUCGGCACGUCCAGUGAUAUUAUUUUUAUGUUUUACCUAUAGUCGUGAAAAGUGUAAAAAGAACAGUCAUUCGAUGUCCAUGACGCAAAGUUAAACGCGUAAAAUUAGGCUAAGCUAAAGUGAAGGGUAGAUAAAGCGAGACAAAGCAAGGGAAGUUGGAUUUUUAUCGAAAUUUGGGAAGUUGGAUUUUAAUGAAAAACGAGCCAGAUCGUAACAUUUUGGUCUCUUUAAUUGAAAUUAUAGGAUCAGUUGGCGACAAACGACUCAAAGCGAACAAAAAGAAUAGAUCGCGAGAGGAUGAUGUGUAAACGCAUGAAAAUUGGGUAAUGUUUUAAUCCGGUUGGUAUUACGUGACGCGGUGAGAAGUAAUUAAAGUGGCGUUUGAAUCCAAUUGAAGUUAUGCACUUGCUUGUGAAUCGUUAAUUACAUCGCGAAAAUGCGUUCCUCGGAAGUUAACUUCGUGCGAGUUAGGCUGAAGUUACAUGAUCCCGUGAAGAUAUUAAGGGAUGCAAGGAAGUCAAAGGGAAAUUAAUGUUUGGCAAAUUAAUGCGGUAUAAACGAGAUAACGUGAAAUAAAAAUUCUUUAACGAGUGAAACGUCAUAUAAGAAGAAAAUGUAUAAAUCAACGCAUAAAUUAACAUAGGGUAUUUUUGAACGAGUGGUAUAAUCCAGAAAAAGAUAUGUUUACUAUGUAUGAAGAAAUAAAUUGAAAAUGUAGAGUGGACAUGAAUAACCAUGAUUUUUUACCUAUACGAGAUUGGAUAUAAAUCCGAAUGAAAUGUUUUUCAAGUAAUUCGAUAUGUCAAUCGAAAUAUAAAAGAGCUAUUGUUUCUAUUGCUUUCUAUUUCAUUUAUUAAUACUUGCCUCUUUCUUUUUUCCUGUUUCUUUUAGGUGAUAAAUAAAUUAUAUUCGAGCUUUUAACGAGAUAGAAAAGUUAUGUAUUUUCAGCAGUUUUCUCUGUGGAACUUUCGGCGAACGCAUUCAACAGGUGAUUUAAAAACCAUAGUCUUCCCAGCCGUGAAUUAAGUGUUAUCGUAACUUUUAAUAUUUUCCUGUGAAAUCAGCCGCUAAAUGUCGGCUAAUUAGUCGGCGGAUGUAACGCGGCUUAAAACAAGCGGCUUUGUUAAUAAUUAAUCAAUUUCUGCCGCGGAGGUCGCUGGUAAAAUUCUGACGCUCCACUUGCACCGCUGAUUCAAUCCAGUAGACAAUCACUACCUGUAUUUAUCUCAUUAAUAUGUAAGAGAAACGUUCAGCGUUAUUAAUAUUUAAAAUGAAAAUUAAACAACAUCGGAUGAAAUAUUUUUCCAGUGUAAUUAUAACUUGAAUGAUCGAUAUACAUAAAUACUUACGAGCUUUUCCAUAUAUUUUUCGACUGAAUUGCCAGUAUCUAGAAAAUAAUCCAAGGUCGUGAUUCGACGGUUGCGCGUUCCAUUUCUAAAGAUUGGCCAGAAAUACUUGACAAAGAAAGUGCAAUAUAUUCGAUCCAUCAUUUUAUUUGAACCUUUCAACAUCGGUACAUAUCGUUAUUCUGUUUAUAAAAAUACCAUGUAAACACCUUGUUUAUACAAACAUAAUAUAAAAAUAUUCUGUUUAUAAAAAUAUAAGAACUGCAUGCAUUCUCGUUAUAAGAGAAGAUAUAUUCUAUAUCUCUCUAAGUAACUUUGACACACUUCAAAACGACAGCGUGUUUUUCAUGAAACAAUUGAUCGAUCGAUCGAUCGUUUCUCGUAUUACGAGACGCUUUAUUCGGAAUUUUUCAACGAUGUCUGGCUUUUUACUUCGUGAAAGGGACGGACGAUCGCACGAUAACCAGGGAGAACUUGAACGAAGAGAAAAAGAGCUUUGGUGUAACGUUGAAAGAACAUAUAUCCAGGAGAAACGAUCGAUUGCGCGUGCGUUACACGUCAAGUGUAAUAUGUACUACGUGUAUGAUAAGCUGCGACGAUGCGAUGAUGAAAAUAUAUGAGAGACGUAUCGUGUGCGACGCUUUCUGAACUGUUGCAGCUGAUCGUUUUAAUCGUUUCGACAAAACAAUUAUAUACGUUGUACCUUACGUCGAUUUAAACUAAGAUUAACAGCGAAAUUUCGAUCAGAUUCUCUGUCUUUAUUCCACCUACGUGUUAUAAUUUACAGGUAACAAUAAAGGUUUGCGUUGAGACACCUC